GGAAGGAUCAUUAGCACUUGGGGAAUGUUUUCCUUUUGGCUCUAUGUGGAUUCGGCAUUGAAAUGUCUCUCUCUGGUGUCUUUUUGAAACGAAACUCUGUACCAUGUCGUUCUUAUGGAAAUGUUACGAAACAACGAACAACUCUUAGCAAUGGAUAUCUUGGUUCCCGCAACGAUGAAGAACGCAGCGAAAUGCGAUACGUAAUGCGAAUUGCAGAAUUCAGUGAAUCAUCAAAUCUUUGAACGCAAGUUGCGCUCGGGAGAGCCCUUCCGAGCAUGCCUCUUUGAGUGUCGGUUUCCAUCUCUCACCCGGUGAGGAGAGUGAGAUGUCGGCGGGGUCGCCGUCUCUCGAAGUCUCUGGCAAAAGUCCAUGCGAUUCUUGGUCGCGGUGCAGUCGUUCAUGGCAGGGGUCGUGGCGGUCGGGCUGGAUGUCGCCUGUGUGGCGGCGGAAGGCCCGCCUCCGGUCCCACUCAACCACACAAGAUCUCAAAUGAAGUAAGACUACCCGCUGAAUUUAAGCAUAUAAUUAAGCGGAGGAAAAGAAACUAACUAGGAUUCCCUUAGUAACGGCGAGUGAAGCGGGAAGAGCUCAAACCGAAAAUCUCUGUCGCUUGCGGCAGCGAAUUGUGGUCUAUGGAGGCGAGUUCAGUGUGCGACGCCGGCCCAAGUCCGUUGGAAAACGGCGUCGGAGAGGGUGACAAUCCCGUAUCUGGCUGGAUGAUCGCCGCGUACGAACCGCUCUCUAAGAGUCGGGUUGCUUGGGAGUGCAGCCCUAAGAGGGUCGUAAAUUUGAUCCAAAGCUAAAUACAUGCGGGAGACCGAUAGCGAACAAGUACCGUGAGGGAAAGAUGAAAAGAACUUUGAAAAGAGAGUCAAAAGUACUUGAAAUUGCUGAGAUCGAAGGGAUGGCAACUAGUAUUGGCGCGGGGAUUUUAUCGAGAGGCUCGGUGCGGGUGCCGGGUGCCGAUUGGCGCAAGCCUUCGUCGCCCGGUGCCGCGUGCCGGCCGACCGAGUCCUGUCCCCGGGCUCAGGUCAGGAUGGAUUCGGGCGUGGUCGAAAAUGGCCGCGGGAAGGUGGCUUUCGGGCAACCGGGAGAUCUUACAGACCGCGGCCGAUGGAUCGCUCCGGAUCGAGGUGCGGAACUGGACGCCUUCGGGCUGGCCGCUCCGGCCGAUGGUCGGGCGUGGUGGCGGGAGUGCAAUGCUCUGUCGUCGCCGGCGCUCGCCAGAGGUCGGUCAGCGGACCUGUGGACCAGUGGAGAUUCUGACGAAAUGGUUGUCAUUCACCCGUCUUGAAACACGGACCAAGGAGUCUUACAUAUAUGCGAGUGAUCGGGUGGCAAACUCGUUCGCGGAUUGAAGGAGAUUCAUGGAUGGUGCGACGGGGGCAGCGAUGCUCUCUGCAGCGCCGGGCGGCUAAGACAACUGUACGACCCAGAGCAUAUCUGUAGGGACCCGAAAGAUGGUGAACUAUGCUUGAGCAAGAUGAAGCCAGGGGAAACUCUGGUGGAAGUCUGAAGCGAUACUGACGUGCAAAUCGUUCGUCUGACUUGAGUAUAGGGGCGAAAGACUAAUCGAACCAUCUAGUAGCUGGUUCCUUC
rnacentral:misc_RNA from 1 species